GCGGGGUUGGCGGAAUUGGUAGACGCAGCAGACUUAAAAUUUGCCGGCCUCUGGCCUUGCGGGUUCGAUUCCCGCACCCCGUACCA
rnacentral:tRNA from 1 species